UAAUUUGAUCCUAAGUCAUCUUUGACCAAGUUUAUAGAAUUAUAUUAACAUCUACAUUACCAAAUAAAUGAACUAUGAAGACAUAUUUCAUGGUGGAUUUAAUGAAACUAAUUUGAUGUUGUAGAUGUUGGCGCGUUUUUCUAUAAAUUUGGUCAAAGUUAGAGAAGUUUGACUUAGGACACAACUUAA
rnacentral:pre_miRNA from 1 species